GAUGAACGCUGGCGGCGUGCCUAAUACAUGCAAGUCGAGCGAACAGACGAGGAGCUUGCUCCUCUGACGUUAGCGGCGGACGGGUGGGUAACACGUGGAUAACCUACCUAUCAGACUGGGAUAACUUCGGGAAACCGGAGCUAAUACCGGAUAAUAUAUUGAACCGCAUGGUUCAAUAGUGAAAGACGGUUUUGCUGUCACUUAUAGAUGGAUCCGCGCCGCAUUAGCUAGUUGGUAAGGUAACGGCUUACCAAGGCAACGAUGCGUAGCCGACCUGAGAGGGUGAUCGGCCACACGAGAGCUGAGACACGGUCCAGACUCCUACGGGAGGCAGCAGUAGGGAAUCUUCCGCAAUGGGCGAAAGCCUGACGGAGCAACGCCGCGUGAGUGAUGAAGGUCUUCGGAUCGUAAAACUCUGUUAUUAGGGAAGAACAAAUGUGUAAGUAACUAUGCACGUCUUGACGGUACCUAAUCAGAAAGCCACGGCUAACUACGUG
rnacentral:rRNA from 1 species